rnacentral:rRNA from 1 species
UACGAAGGGGGCUAGCGUUGUUCGGAAUUACUGGGCGUAAAGGGCGCGUAGGCGGUACUUCAAGUCAGGCGUGAAAGCCCCGGGCUCAACCUGGGAACCGCGCUUGAGACUGGAGAACUAGAGUUCGGGAGAGGAUGGUGGAAUUCCCAGUGUAGAGGUGAAAUUCGUAGAUAUUGGGAAGAACACCGAUGGCGAAGGCAGCCAUCUGGACCGACACUGACGCUGAGGCGCGAAAGCCAGGGGAGCGAACGGG